AUUGAACGCUGGCGGCAGGCCUAACACAUGCAAGUCGAACGAGUGGCGGACGGGUGAGUAAUGUCGGGGAAAGUGCCAGAUGGAGGGGGAACAAUACUGGAAACGGUAGCUAAUACCGCAUACCAUCAGAUGUGCCCAGAUGGGAUUAGCUUGUUGGUGGGGUAACGGCGCACCAAGGCGACUAUCCCUCUCUGGUCUGAGAGGAUGACCAGCCACACUGGAACUGAGACACGGUCCAGACUCCUACGGGAGGCAGCAGUGGGGAAUAUUGCACAAUGGGCGCAAGCCUGAUGCAGCCAUGCCGCGUGUAUGAAGAAGGCCUUCGGGUUGUAAAGUACUUUCAGCGGGGAGGCGUUACCCGCAGAAGAAGCACCGGCUAACUCCGUGCCAGCCGCCGCGGUAAUUC
rnacentral:rRNA from 1 species